CCUCGGCCGUGUGGCGCACGCCGCCCGGACAGCGCCUGCCCGCCCUGCACGAGUGACGUAAUCACUCCUCACUUUUCGGGAAUACACAAUGUCGCUGGCGGCCUGUCUUGUAAAUAUAACUUUAUUAAACUUAUUAUGUUUAUAAUAUAAUGCAAUCAUGAGUAUUAUACGUAGCCGUUGCUGUUAGGCUACAUUCCUUUAGAAAAUAAUAUACUGCAACGAUUUGUUUUUGCAAAAAUCAUCACAUUUUAAUGUAAAUAUUAUCAUCUGCCAUUCAUUUUGUUUUUUAGUUCUCGGCUGUUAAAACUUAUUCCGUUUUUAUUGUUUACCUCCGUUUAUUGAAAAUUGGUAGUUUUUAAAAAUAUUUUUAGUAAAAUGUUUGAUAUUUCAAGCAGUAGUUUCAAAGGAUUUUAACACCACACAAGCGAAAGGAAGCCUUAAAGUAAGUGACCUUAUAGAUUUAAUAUAUAACGUUAACCCAUGUAUUUUUAUUGUAUAGUUGAAUGCUGUUGGGAUAUAAAAGUGACAGGUUAGAAUUUACUAUUAAAGAUUUAGACAUGGUACCAAUUUUGAUGUCUGCUAAAAUUGCUAAACUAGGUUUAGUGAUAAAUCUUAUACUUUGGCACUAUUUUAACAGCUAUUAAAGUAUUGUGAACAAACAUGACUCUAAGUAUUGUUCGAAUAAAGUCUAUUUAUUAGACUGGGCUAUACCACUGUCUAGCUAUACAGUUUUUUGUGAAAUUAUGAAGACACUUUUACGUUAUGCCAACAAAUGUAAUGAAAACGUAAAGGAAAAACGGGGUUUUUCUUUCAUCAAACACGCGCCCGUACACAAACGAUGCUUGCUUAAGUGAAGCAGAAAAUCAAACGCACAGCGUUGAAUAGAGCUUUGUGAUUGGUUCGUGUGUCACCCUGUGCGUCCACGCGCACUGUGAAACCUCAUAGUAAUGUUUGUGAAUACGGACGACAGAUUUCUCUCUAAAGAGAAUUUAAAUAAAAAGUAAAUGUGUUCACAUAAUUUUGCCGUUGACUGUAUGAAUUUAAAACCUGCCUGUCACAAUCCCGAAGUAUGAUAAAUAAUGUUAAUAUUGUGUAGUCUUGAAAUAGAGGCAUGUUUAGAAUUACUUAUUUGACACAAAAUUGGUAUAAAACCAUGCUAGCAAUAAUAUAAAAGUUUGCUCAAAAACUAACGACAAAUCAACACUAGUAAGCAUGUCUUUGUAAUUUUAGACUGUUUUUGCUAAAAGAUCAUGCUGCUAUUCGGCAUGUAUAAACUUGAGCAAGCAUGCAUACUGUAUAGCCUUAAAAGCAAUAGUAAAUUUUGUGUGCUACACAGUUAUAGAAUAAUGUUUUAACGCUAAGACUGUUAUGGAUUGUAAGUUAGAAAAUAAAAAUUUUACAUCUAGUA